ACACGUGACGUGGCCUGGGGAGCAUGGAUGUCCUCCAGCCCCACGGCACGGACGGAGAGGGAUCGGACGUGGUGCCGGGCUGGGGGCUCCCAGUAAUUCCUCUCUUUUACUCCUUAAAACAACCAGAAAAAUGGCUCACAUGUUUUGCUUUAUUGAACACGAUGUCACUGGGAAAAGCCACGAUGUGAACAAGUUUCCGGAGAGCAAACCUCAGACCCUGCAUGUGGGUGCUCCAGGCUGGGAAAGCUAUUUCCUCCUGAUCUGCAGCUGUUUGACACGUAGCUGCUCCUUGCUGAGUAACGCAGCUGAUGAGAAACCUCGGCCAUAAAUGUUACACACGUUUGCACUUUCCCUGCGCCAGCUCAAGGUAGAUUUCUCAGUCUCCUCUGUAGCAGCAGCCCUGGGCUGUUUUCCAUCCCUCCCCUUUGUGACAGUCACAGAGGUAAGGGCUGUCCUCCUUUGCUCAGAGCUGUGGAGCCAGGGGAACCGUUCCUUCAAACCAUCGGGCUCUCACAGCCUGUUUCCACCGCGUUCCCCCCCCCAGGUUUUGGGACUUCCUGCCCUUUUCACGUGGUGUUGUGUUCAUUAAGUGCACCACGUACCAGAUGUCUUCCCACCCCCUAUAGUGUCAUAUUCCCGGAGGUGCCAAGCCAUGCAGUUGGGGUACAGCGUUGUAAUUAAAGAAGGGCUGAUCUCAUGAUUAAAAUACUGCCUUAAGUGUUUUAGGGUGAAAUAGUGCUCUGUUCGAGUUUGUAGCAGAAGGAAUUUCCCUGAGUUCAGCUGUCGGGUCAGCCAGCAGCUUCCUGUGCAAACCCACUGGAGAACACGUGAAGUCCAAGUUCGUUGCCUCCCCACCCACAGGGCUGGCAACUUGUGAGAAAGCUCACUAAGAGCGAGGAUUACAGUGGGAUUACAGUGAUGGUGUGGGCUUGGAGGAGCCCCAGGGACAUAAUGGCACUGAAAGAAACACGGGGACUUCCGCCGCACGUCAGGUUUGGGACAGAACUCCCCUCCUGGCUGUAUUUGCUGAAAAGCUUCAUCUAAGCACUAGCUGGAAACUGAAAAAACACGGUGGAUUAGCUUGGUUUUGACUUGAAAUCGGAGCCAUGAACUUGUAGGUGGGCCACCAGCCUUGGGGUGUCCCUAGAAACGUGUGACUUUAGGCAGGACCCUAUUGUGCACCCAGCAGCUUCAGCUGGAUGCUCCUCAGACAGCUGAUGAUACCUGACGUGGUCAGAACUUUAGCGACCCCCUUUCUUUUUAUGACUCCAUUAAGUGUUAGAAAAGAAAGUUUCCAAGGCUCUUUUCAUCAAAACUAUAUGUUUAUUUAUAAAAGAGAAUGGAAAAAAAUAGACCAAAGUGCUUUCUUCUAUAAAAGACAAUACCGUGGAGGUCGAAUGCUUUAGACCUGAGUAUACAUGGCAUCACAGCCCAGAGCUGGAGAUGGCUGAUCCAGAUCUGAUGCUGAAUAUCACGGAAAUUUGGAAUUAGAAGGUCAGCAAAGGAUUUUUCCGCUGAUGACUAAGGGACUUAACCACGCAUCUCCUACUGAUUUCAGAGAUGUAUGGCCAAAUCCCUUCACUGGCUUUAAAAGUUCAAGCCCAGUUAAAUCCAGAGAAGAAAAAUAUAUAAUUUUUUGACUCCAGGCCUUAAAUUGCCUCACCAAUUGGGCCCAUCUCUGUGCAAAAGACAAACGGCCAGACCCUCAGCCAGCAAAAAGCAGCGUACUUCACCAGUUCCAUUUAUCCACUCCAAUGUGGGUCAGACUGAAGAAAUCCAUUCUAGUAUUCCCUUGGUUUUGGGUGUACAAUAGCAGAAGUUCACAGCUAUACCAAAAUUUUGAGUUUAAGUAAUUGAAUUUGGAGCUCCAUGAUGCUGCAUGAGCUACUUUAGGUUCUGAGUCGGUGGGGAGCUGCUGUGGUGCAACUCAGGGGUGGCACUAAGGUACCUGUGGAAAUGGCAGAGGUGAGACAACACGGUCACCCAGGCAGCAGGAUGUCUUCUCAGUGCUGAAGAGGAUUUUGAAGUGAAUGGCAAAAUUAACCAGUAAGGAAAAAAGCACAAUUUCCUCACACUGGGAAAAAAAUCUUUGCCUGGAGCAUCUUCAACACCAAGCACCUAUGACUUCUCUGAACAAGUAUUAUUUUCCCUCAGCCUACACACUCUUUGGCCUUAAUGGUUUCUAUAUCUUGACAGUGGUGCAAAGUUUUCUGCCUCAGUUUCCCCCAAAUCUUGAAACAGAGACAGUUCUGAGACUUCCUAGCUAUGAAACUCCAGCAAAUUCUGUUUUACUUGAAGAGUCACAUUUUUUCAUAAAGCUCAGUAACCUGCAGUGCUCUGACAUCAGCAUCCCAUUCUGCAUUAAAAAUAAUCCAUGUAUCUCUCUUCGACUGUAGGGCUGAAACUGAAAACAGAAACCUGGAAAGCAUUGCUACAAGCUGUCACUUGACAUUCAUUUUUAAUUUGACUUGCUGCGAAAAUCUGGAAGUAAAUUUUAUGAUUUCUUUAAGUUCUGGCUCAUGAUUUUUAAGUGCUUCCGAUCAAUAAUGCUGAAACCCUUUCCUUGUUUUCGAGUCAACUCGUCCGCUGCAAGCAGUUGUGGCAUAUGAGAACUGAAACUGCUAGGAGUGAGCACCUUCUCUACCCCUCUUGAUUAAUCUGCUGUGAUUGUGCAUCGUCAUCCUCAGCAGGUAAAUGAAAAUCCAUGGUGUUUUUAACAGGCAUCUAAGAGGGCUAAUGUUUUACUGACUCUGCCCUCCAGUGCACUCUGAUGUUGUUUUUUUUUUUUGUGACAAUUUUGGAUCAAGGUGUUCUCUGAGUUUUCUUUAUCAGAAACCUCAUAUCAAAGUCUAUGCGGUGAGCACUUUGACUUUCACUCUCCUUCCUGUCCAGUUGAACGCUAGCUCAGCUAUGCCAAAACAAGUCAUUCAAAUUCUCCUUUGGAUGCAUCUUUUAUUCCUUCUGGCAGACUGAAAGGAGCCUCCUUCAAAUGUGAAACACUGCUAAAGCUACAAAAACAAUCUCUACCACAAAAAAGCCCUCUUGGAUUCCUUCCUGUGAGCGUGUUUUGGCCUGGUUUCUGCUGUUUGUUUUACAUUUUGUCUAUUUCAUUUUUUUUAUGUAGAACCGAUUAAUAUCUUUAUUUGCUUUUAAUGUUGUGUGCUGGUUUGAUGCAUGUUCAAUUCUGCUUCCUCCCCACCACCUAAUAUUUUUUUCAGGCACAUCUCAAUACAUAGAGAAGAGCUGUUAUGGGAUGAGGUCAAAUUCAGCUGCAGCACUGCUCAUAGCUUAUCUCACACAGUAGACAAGAAGGAAAAUAAUCGAGAUGGGAAAUGUGGUCUGCACGAGUGCGCUCCUCUUUCAACAGCCUGGCAGCCAGCAGGAAGGACUCUGCCUGAGACCAGAAUCAAGCUUACGUAGCAUCUAACGUAUGGCUGAUAAUGAUGACUGCUCACUGAAAAGAAAGUAUGAAACAGCCCCUGCUAAGGGUCCUAAACCAUGCCACGUGCUCAGCACAAUUCCACUAUGGAAUAUCAGUGGAAAACUCUUUUCCUUUGCAUCUCUGCAAUGAAGGUACCUGUGAAUGCUGUUAGAGAUGAUGAUAUUCCAGAAAGGUUGCCAGGAGCUCCAGCACUUAAUGGCACUUUUGGGAGGGAAUCUGUGAGUAAGAGGAAACGCAUAUGCCAAGUGCUUGCAGAGUAAUAAAAUGCACAAGGUUUGCAUUAAGAAGAAAAAAAGAGCAUUCAUGCUUAGUCCUCUGUAAUACAGCAAUAGCAGCAAAGCAAGUUUUUGGACUUUAAAUAGAUGCUGAAGAAUAACUCUCAUUUUGAGCAUUAACAGAUGAUAUAAAAGCCAGCAGCUCACACCAGUGGGUCGCUGCCUUACAACUGUAUAUAAAUGUGCAUAUGAAUAGCUGUAGACUGCAAGCUUAGAAAGAGUCGUUAAAAGUGAGACAGCAGGCUGUGCAUACGAUCUUGUUCUCUAAAAACAUUUUUUGCAAAAUCAAGAGCAAAUCCACUUGCCCUUUAAAGUGUUUUUCAAGUUUCUGAUGUGUCUUUGUGUUAAAGUUGUUGGUUUUAUUGUUGUUGUUUGGUUUGGUUUGGUUUCGGGGGGAGGAGUUCUUUUUUUGUUCAUACCAUUGGCUGGCUGGGUUGCUGCCAAACAGAGUUUCCCAGCCAGGGCAAGCUACCUGCUUUGAGGUAGGGUUCCAUAGCAGCCUAAACUAAUGAAGGUUCAGCAUCACUGUGCUGGUCCCUAACUGAAACCUGGCAGCGGCACUUGCUUCCUUUUGGGGGGAGCACUGGUACUGCUGGAAGGGAGAGGACAGGACACAGCGGGAAUGGGGAAGAUGAGGCUGCAGCAACACUAACUUACAAUGACUUAAUAAAAUGCCACGGGGUUACAGUCUUUGUAGAAAUGGUGUCUGCAUGAAGUCCUGCUUUCUUUGAAGCUAAGGGCAAGAUGGAAACGGAUUGACACCCUGAAAACCUUCUCCCCUUCUCUGACCCCUUCCAUUUCCUUUCUACACAGUGUAUGUAACCUUGGGGAUCCAAAACCUGCAGACAAAUGCCAGGUUCCUCAGGUUAUGCUCAGGUUGUUUGAAGCAUGCGGACCCAGACUGGAUAGAAGCUGGUCAUCUAAAUCCUGCUGAUGUGAGUCUUCAGUGGGCUGAUGCUCUCAGCAUGCAUUUCGGAGAAGGUAAGGGAGCAACACCAGCCCCAUGAGCUCAGAUCUGAGCCCACACCUGAAUCCAAGUUUGCUUUUCUCUUUACUAAAUCACAGCUUUGACUCCAGCGAAUGAUUAAGAGGUGAGUUAGACAAGGCAGGUCUUGUCUAUCUGAAAGCUGGUGCUGUCUUGACUGCCAGUGGCCUGAUACUUGUGUGUAUGCACAGGCUUUGCAUGUGCUGGCAGAGCCACUUUCUACACCUGACAUAACUUCCACUGGUUGUUCCCAUGGCUGGGAAGACCAAAGAGGGAGAGAAUUAACAGAAACGUAUAAAAAAAAAAAAAAAAAACAUAUCAGGAAAGCAUAAGGAAUAUGUCAAAGGUAGUCAGGCUGUUUGCUGUGCUUCAUGGGAACCAUGUCACACUAGAAACUUUUUGCUCUGUGCUUUCUUAUAGGCAAAGGUAAAACUCUGCUCUGUUGCAGUCUGCAUCAACACACCAGGAGAGAGCAGGCUUAUCUCGCUGGAACUGAAGGCAUAAGUCGGCCCUGGGUUUUGGGUGCCUUCUCUGGUAAGCAAUAUUUUCCCCUCAAAAGCAGGGCAGGUAAAUCCAGGCCCAGGAGCUGAUGCCCAAUUGUCACACAGUGACAACGCGUCAGGGAAACACUCGGUGCAAAUCCUGACCCUUGGGACACAUGAGGAGCAAGCAAUCCCCUCUGGUGAACUCAGCAGGCUGAGGGCAGGUUUUUAAGAAGUGAGUGAAGGCACUGGCAGCCAGCUGGUCAGAGGGGCUUGCUCAGCUCUGUGGGCUGGGCUCAGGGUGGUAUUUGAUGCUGCAACACACUGUAGAAGAGCAGUUCCAAUCUGCAGCCCAUAGGGAACUUGCUGACUGAAGGACUGUGUAUUUUUCUUCCAACGCUGUGUUUUCCUUUUCACAGAUGCAGGCUUCUUCAGAUUGGUGGGAAGAGCUGAAUGCGAUCUAGUCAAUAUAUUAUUGUUCACCACAGUCCAGAAGGAACUGGGAAUCGUUUUCUGAAUUUAAGCUUAUCCAUAUUGCUUGUUCAGUGCCAGAAAUGUGUUCUACAGCAGUGAUAUUGUGUCCUGUGGAAGAUUACAACUGUCCCAGGUAAAGGCGAAUCUUCAGGUGGCGAGAUGUGGGAAGGAGCUGUGCUGGGGACAGAUGCACGUGCCACCGAUGUUCCUUGUUUGAAGAGCAAAGAAGGAAAAUGAUUAAAAAAAAAGACUUUUC